AUCGAUAUUAUUUUAAAAUUUUAGUAUCAUUAUUUUUUUAAUGGUUAUGUCAAGUGUUAAUUUUUUGGGUGAUUGAUUUUAUUCCGAUUUCCUUAUUAUCUCUAAACAAUUUUUAAAUAUGGUUAUUUCUUUAUAAUCGAAAUAAUUAAGAUUAAAGAUUUCUAGGAUUUGAAUAUUGUAGUUGUUACAUUAGAUACUAAAUCUUCACCAUUUAGAUUUUUUGGUUACAAUCACUUAUGGAUAUUAUUUAAAUUUUUUCUUCUUUCAAUAUUUUCAAAAUUAAUAUGCCAUGUUCAUGGAAUAUUUUGCUACGAUUUAUUGUGGCAAUUAAUGGUUUAUUUUAUUUAGAUUUUAUUUAAUAUGAUUUUUAGUUAAUAGUAAAUUACAAAAUUAUCCUAAUCUUCUUUCUUGAAAUCCGAUUAGUACAGAUCAUUUCUCCAAAAUCACGCUAGCAAUCAUUUUUUUUCACGAUUUUGAUGUGUUUUGUACAAAAAUAUGUUAGAUCCAUCAAUUAACCAUUGAUUUAGGAGUCAAUAACAAAAACCAUAUUAUUUAUCAAUUUUUUUUUCCCCCAAUAUGGCAUAAUUCCGGUGAAUCACCACCGGUAAGCGCUUUCUCCGACGUCGUUCUUUGACCAACGAAGGAUCGUGAGGGAGAAGAGAACUUGAAUUUUCAAAUUCACAUAUGAGAAUUUUUUUUAAACAUUAUUACACAUGAAAUUCUAAAAUUAUGUUUAUUGGAAAAAAAAUUGAAAAAAAAAACUUACCUGUUAACCCGUUUUAAAACACGCGGAUCCAAUUCUGUUGAUUUGCCCGAUUUCAAAUUUUCGGAUUAUUUUUUUUAAAUAACCCGAUCUAAAAUACUUAAAAGUUUUAUUUAACCUCACUUACAUUGUAUUCUUUUUUGGUCGUUGAGGGUAUUUUCGUCCAAAGGAGAAGUUGUACUUACCUUUUACUAAUAUAGAGAUUUACUGCGCUUUUUAGCCUUAUUAAUUAGGUGCUUUCUUAAAUGAGGAAAAAUAUUAAGUUGAAAUUAUGGGCUUUAUUGGUUUAUUAAUUAGUUUAGGGCCUGAUAAUGCGUUGAUUCGGGAAAUUAAGGUUUUAUAAUAAUAGGUUUUGAUCUCUCUCUUUCCUCUGCCGCACGCGUUACCGUCGACCCAUGAAGAUCAUUGACGAUAAAUCCUGGUCGAUCUUCUACGAUCCAUGUGACGCAUAUUUCAUCAACGACGCUGAACAAUCUCAAUUUCCCUGCUGAUAUUUUCUUCCGGAUCGAGAGAUCCCAAGCUGAACACAAGCUAGCUUGCCUCGACUCAGACAUCUGCACUUGUGGUGUUGUGUUCAGUGAGAGCUCUAUUUUGUGGCACACCCCCUGUAACACUUUGGAUACAAGUGCGGCCCUCCUGAUCGUCCUCUCCCUCCUGGAAUACUAGUAGCGAGAGAUCACAACCAAACCAAGUGGAUAUUACCCCUUGAUUUAACUGCCAAGGUGAUGUCUAUGUUAACCUUUACCCUAGAAAUUGCAAAGGCCGAGUGCAUCUCCACAGCCUUCUCUGCUGCAGGAGCCAUCUCCACUCCAUCUGCGCUUGUGCUACACUGGAGACAUGGAAGAUUUUCAUAAGCAAGUGCGCAAAUAUACAGAGUCUUAGUCUAAUUGGUGUUCCAAUUCGGGAUGAUGCUCUUUGAGAAAGGGGAUCCAAGAAGAAUGGCCGUUUCUGGAGUAAAUUUAUCAAUUAACUAGGAUCGGACUCGCGCUACAGCGCGAAGGAAUAUUUACAGAGAUACAUUUACAUAUGAUUCGUAACAUACCGAAAAAAUAGUAUAUAAAAAUUGAGUAUAUAUUCGUAAAAAAAGAUUUUUUUUUUUUUAAGUUGUAAAGAUUGCAUUCAUAAAAAUUACACACUCACAAUGUAUGUUACUA